rnacentral:sRNA from 1 species
CUUGGUCAUUUAGAGGAAGUAAAAGUCGUAACAAGGUCUCCGUAGGUGAACCUGCGGAGGGAUCAUUAACGAGUUAGGGUCUCACCGGCCCGACCUCCCAACCCUUUGUCUACUUGACCAUCGUUGCUUCGGCGAGCCCGUCCUCACGGACCGCCGGGGGGUUCACUGAACCCUCUGGUCCGCGCUCGUCGACAGCCCCCAAUUCCAAAAUCUUAACUAAACGUGUCUUGAAUCUAAGUACUAUUGUUAAAUAAAAACAAAACUUUCAACAACGGAUCUCUUGGUUCUGGCAUCGAUGAAGAACGCAGCGAAAUGCGAUAAGUAAUGCGAAUUGCAGAAUUCCAGUGAGUCAUCGAAUCUUUGAACGCACAUUGCGCCCUUUGGUAUUCCGAAGGGCAUGCCUGUUCGAGCGUCAUUAUCACCCCUCAAGCCCUCGGCUUGGUGUUGGACGGUUUGGUGGAGACCCCUUCGCGGGCUUCUACCCCUCCCAAAGACAAUGACGGCGGCCUCGUUGGACCCCCGGUACACUGAGUUCUUCACGGGACACGUAUCGGACACACGGGUUUGCGGGACACGGUCUGCCUCCCCUCAGGGAGAAUCUUCUCAAGGUUGACCUCGGAUCAGGUAGGGAUACCCGCUGAACUUAAGCAUAUCAAUAAGCGGAGGAAAAGAAACCAACAGGGAUUGCCUCAGUAACGGCGAGUGAAGCGGCAACAGCUCAAAUUUGAAAUCUGGCCUCUUUGGGGUCCGAGUUGUAAUUUGUAGAGGAUGUUUCGGGUACCGCCUCGGUUUAAAUUUCUUGGAACAGAAUGUCAGAGAGGGUGAGAAUCCCGUCUUGGACCGGCGGUAGGGCCCAUGUGAAACUCCUUCGACGAGUCGAGUUGUUUGGGAAU